rnacentral:tRNA from 1 species
CGGAAAGUAGCUUAGAUGUAUAAAGCACUCGGUUUGGGACCGAGAGAUCGCAAGUUAGAGUCUUGUCUUUCCGA